GAAAGGAUGGCAGGCAGUGGAGCACAUAGCCCUGUGCAGGUCACCCAGAAAGCAGCUCAAAGACAGCCUUAGCCUCUGCCCUCCCUGUACUCCAGCAGGCCAGCCCUGCUGUCUGCAGCGAUUUGGCAGAGGGCAGGAGUGCAGAUUGGGCAAAGAAGAUGUUCCUCAGGCUGGCAUUGUGCUGGCUUAGGUGGGAUAAUGCGUCUUUUGUAGCCUGAUUACGCUCAGGUUGGCUGAGGACUUCACUGAAGGAGACAAACCCGGAGAGAGCCUGUUCAUCUAAACAAAGUAAGAGGUGCUGUUUUCCGUUUGCCAGAAAUUCGGGCAGGGAUAUGGAGCCAGCCCCGAGCGCUAGAACAGAGUAAUUGAAGCUUUAACACCCACCUAUAACCAUUUCAGUUUUAGGCAAGUGUGCUUUGUGGGGCAUACCUUCAAUUUGGUGGCUCAGGGAUUUGCAAACAAUGAGUCAUAACUCCCUGGGGUCAAAAAUGCAGCUGCUGAGGCACCAGGCAUUGAAAAGUGUUGUCCAAGAUAAAAGCAAAGCAAACCUCACUGCCCACACACCCUUAUCCUUCAAGGCUGAGUAUCUUUGUCACCCUCUUCGAAAACAUGCACUCAAAAUUAUACAGUCUUCUCACGGUUGCCAUUGAUACAGAAUUUACUUCUCCUUUUAGAGCAGACGAGGGGAUUGCGAAAAAUCUGUGACUUGAGAGAGUUGAGGCAGAUAGAUCUGAAGCUGUUGUGCAGCAGCCUGUGCUCCCUGAGAGGUGGCUGGUGUUUGAGGAGGGAAUUGUUCUGCAGGAGGAUCUUAGAAGAGGUCCCUGGGCCCAGGACAACCCCUGGCCCUUCCUACUGAGGCUGGACCUGUAGAUCCCAGAGGUCAUCAUCCAGCCAGUUUGGUUUCAACCACGGAGCACUGUCUUUGGGACACCUUUUGGCACUGACUCACUGCUAAGGAAGAAGCGACCUGCAAGUCACCUGUCCCAUAAACUGUCCCACUCACAGUGGUCACGUGGCGCCAGGCUCUUGUCCCAUGACACAUUCUGGGUACAGGAACAGCAUGACAUGGCCACCUUUGCCACAAAACGCCUGGUUGCAGAGCUCACGUGGCUGGUCCACCCCAUCAUGCAACACCCCACGCAGAGAGAAGCGGUGGCACGCAACCUGUGGGUCCUGCAGAGCGUUCCAGGCACUGCCAGCCAUCAGCCUGUCCUGCCUGUCCCCAUGGCUUCAAAGCCACUAGCAUCAUGAGCUGAGAGGUCUCAGGCACACCAGACCUUCACCAUGAAGCCUUCAGAGCUUGGAGCUCAGAUUGAUUGGAGAUCUGCCAUGAGAUAACGUGACUGCAUUUGCUUCCUAAGCUGUCUUUCUACUUUUAUUCUGCCACCAUGAAAGUAGCUCUCAUCAGUGCCAGAAGACCAGCGUCCAGCCCGGAUAGCAAGGACCUCUCUGCUGACACUGGUCCCGCUGAGUUACAGGAUUCGUGUGUUCUUCAAGAGAGGCAGGACCUUGCCUCGUCAGCCUGAGAAAAUGCUGCAUUCCCACAGAGGAUCAGAAACUCACCACGGACAGGUGUUGCAUGACACAGCUGUUGGUCAUGCCAAAAGAGCUGGCAAGUGACACGGGAACUCGGUGCGAGGUGACCCUCUGCCUGACAAAGUCCAGGUUUCAAGUGGUACCAGGUUCUUCUGCAGCUCUUUGCAUCUAAUGGGGCACCUUAAAAGCACUAAUAAAAGAGAUGUCACCAGCUCCCCUCUCUUAUGAGAUGGAUUGGUUACAGUGAUACAGUCCUGCAGAUAGAGAAAUGAAGAUACAAAACUGGUAAUGAACUUUCCGGCACCAUGUGAGGAGAGCCCAGCAGCCCUGGCUCCCUUUUGCCUUCUCUUAGGCUGCAUUUCAACAAUUUAAAGCAGCCCAAGGACCGGUGGCCGUGUCCCGCCUCACCCACCCCUUCCCUUGCACUAAGCUGGCAGAAAAUCUAUCCACGCUGCGUUUGUUUUUUGUUUUCAGCAGAUUUAGUGCUGGAAUGACUUCGGGCAGGGUGAGGCAAGAGCUGUCACUGGCGUAGGGCAGGAACAGUGUGACAGUGAGUGCCUGACAUGGGCUUGGGCUGGGCUGCCCUUUGGAGCGGAGGUGGCUCCCGCUGCAGGCAGCACACAGGCUCCUCUGGGCAACAGAGACCCCGAACCAGGCUCAGGCACCUUCGCCACCUUAUCUGACUUUUCUAAAGCAGGACACCCCGCCUGCUCUGCGGCAGAUGCUCCUCAGAAGGGAUUCUUGCCAGGCCCCAUAGAUAACGACUUCAACGGCACACUUGCCGUCGCUCUAUUGAUCUCAAACUGCUUUGCGAGCGUUAAUGAAUCAAACCUUGCAGCAUCUCUCCGAGGUGAGCGUUCCAGGUGACACACGGGGAAACCAUGUUAUCCUGCAGAGGAGGCAAGCAAUUUGCCUAAUGAUACGUGACAGGCUUGUCUCUGGACAGAAGGAAGGACAAAGGUCUUCUGACUGCCAGUUCUGCCAUCCCUCUGCCAACCAGCCCCUGUCUCAGGGCUGGAAGCAGUCUGCUGUACACUGCUUCUUUUUAAUGUAGCUAUAACUAGCUUUGUUCCUUUUUUCUCUUUAAUUAGCUCUAUACAUACUUUUUUUUUCUUGGUUGCUUUAGCUUUUGCUUUCCUGAGUUCUCAAGUUAACGAAACCCCCAAUAUUCACGUGACUUGGAUGAACAGAACAUUCAAGUAAUUGCUGAAUAAGAAAAUGAACUUGCUGCCAACAUGCAGAGUAGAAAAUAUGGACUCCUCUUGCACCAGCAGUAUGGUUAUUCUCCCAUGUAUUAAAGUGAUGAAGAGUUUACAUAGUCCUAGUUCACUUGCCUGCAUUACUGAUUUUGGAACUGGUUAUUGCCUGAUUAAUCCACCUGAAUGCAUCUUAAAAUUGUCGUAUUUUACUGUCUUUCAUUUUUUCCCAACAAAUGCUGUUGCUGCUACCUCACUCCAGAUCACAGCUGCAAACAAAAGAUCCCAAAGAACAGA